AGAAUUUGAUUGACAAUGAAUAUGGUUUUUAGAAAGGGUUGAAUAUUGUCUUAGUUUAUACUUGAUUCUUGUGUUAGUUCCUCUUGAUUGAGAUUCUUUAAACCAUGAGCACUAAUAUCAGUUCUUUCAUAAUUUUGACUUGAAAUUUGAGAUUAACGCAGCCUGAGUUGAGAAUUUUAGAUAGAGUAAAUGACUGUUUGUCUUGAUUCUUAUCUCCACAAUACAAAAUAGUAAACACAGGCGCCAAAGUCAGAAAUAACUACCUAUAACCCUUAAGAGUGAAGCUAUCCUUGAGUAAUUUGGGCCUAUGUAUCACAAGUAUGUAGAGGAUAAUCUACCAUGAGAAGAAGGC
rnacentral:lncRNA from 1 species